UUCCCUGCCUUAUUUCAUUUAGAUGGUAUUUAUAAUGGAUUACAAUAACAGAAUUUGUAAUUCUGUGAUGACAGGUCCUAACGGAAAUGAGAAAAUAUUCCUAAAGUGGCAGACAAGAUCAAGGCACCGAUCCUUAGAUGUCCAGCUCAUCAAUUUCGGUUAUCCAGCUCAGCUUCUCUGCUCAAACGAAGUCUCUGAGGUAUGUUGGUAUCUUCUUCUUCCUUUUGGGUCUGCCUUCUGCUUCCUUGCUAUCA
rnacentral:lncRNA from 1 species